rnacentral:rRNA from 1 species
CGGACGGGUGAGUAAUGUCUGGGAAACUGCCUGAUGGAGGGGGAUAACUACUGGAAACGGUAGCUAAUACCGCAUAACGUCGCAAGACCAAAGAGGGGGACCUUAGGGCCUCUUGCCAUCGGAUGUGCCCAGAUGGGAUUAGCUAGUAGGUGGGGUAACGGCUCACCUAGGCGACGAUCCCUAGCUGGUCUGAGAGGAUGACCAGCCACACUGGAACUGAGACACGGCCCAG